AUUGAACGCUGGCGGCAUGCCUUACACAUGCAAGUCGAGCGGCAGCGCGGGGGCAACCCUGGCGGCGAGCGGCGAACGGGUGAGUAAUACAUCGGAACGUGUCCAGUAGCGGGGGAUAACCUGUCGAAAGAUAGGCUAAUACCGCGUACGACCUACGGGUGAAAGCGGGGACCGCAAGGCCUCGCACUAUUGGAGCGGCCGAUGUCGGAUUAGCUAGUUGGCGGGGUAACGGCCCACCAAGGCGACGAUCCGUAGCUGGUCUGAGAGGACGACCAGCCACACUGGAACUGAGACACGGUCCAGACUCCUACGGGAGGCAGCAGUGGGGAAUUUUGGUACAAUGGGCGCAAGCCUGAUCCAGCCAUGCCGCGUGAGUGAAGAAGGCC
rnacentral:rRNA from 1 species